CAAGGAUCUGGCACAUUCUCUGCCCAGCCUUUCCCCAUCACUGCUGCAGCAUGCCGCAGCCUGUGCUCUGGAUGGCCCUGGCUCCUCUGCUAGCCGCCCUCAAUGCAGGAUGGUCUGAGAGCCUGGAAAUUCUAGGAGGUGAAGGUGACAGCAAAACCAUGAGGGCCUCAGCGCCAGACCUCUGGGGAUCAGGGGGCCUCUCAGCCAACCCGUGGCCCCUGUCACACGAUCUUCGUGCUUUUCUCUUCCUGUGUCUCAUGCUGGCUGUGUCCAGAAGAGCCAUCAUCCGCAGCGCCAGCCACCCCGCCACGUUCUCAGUGAAGGCCCACUUGUUAUGACAGUCUGCGGGAUGGUCACCUUCUCUCCCUGCAGUGGGGCCCACUGCACCAUCCUGUGCCUCAUCACCCGCUCGCCAGGCCAGCACUCCGUGGAGAGAAGCUGCGUGCCAUGCCCCUUUGGCUUUUGGUGUUUGGGUGGCAGGACAACUCUGCAGCCAUGCCCCACCUGCCGAACCUGCGCUGAGCUCCCAGGACUCAUAGACAGCAAGGAGUGCCAGUGGUGCCUGACUAGACAGAAGCCAAGCUCGCAGAAUGCUGGCUACGUCUUCUGCCCCCUGGGAUACUUCUUCACAGACAGAGGCCCCAGCUGCCAGCCCUUCCCCACAG
rnacentral:lncRNA from 1 species